rnacentral:rRNA from 1 species
GCCGGUCUGAGGCGGGCUGGCACCUCCCGGGGUGGCCAGCCUUGCUGAAUUAUUCCACCCGUGUCUUUUGCGUACUUCUUGUUUCCUUGGUGGGCUCGCCCACCACAAGGACCAACCCAUAAACCUUUUUGCAAUGGCAAUCAGCGUCAGUAACAAUGUAAUAAUUUACAACUUUCAACAACGGAUCUCUUGGUUCUGGCAUCGAUGAAGAACGCAGCGAAAUGCGAUAAGUAGUGUGAAUUGCAGAAUUCAGUGAAUCAUCGAAUCUUUGAACGCACAUUGCGCCCUUUGGUAUUCCAAAGGGCAUGCCUGUUCGAGCGUCAUUUGUACCCUCAAGCUUUGCUUGGUGUUGGGCGUCUUUUUGUCUCCCCUUGCGGGAGACUCGCCUUAAAGUCAUUGGCAGCCGGCCUACUGGUUUCGGAGCGCAGCACAAGUCGCGCUCUCUUCCAGCCCCAAGGUCUAGCAUCCACCAAGCCUUUUUUUUCAACUUUUGACCUCGGAUCAGGUAGGGAUACCCGCUGAACUUAAGCAUAUCAAAAGCCGGAGGGAAAAAAUACGAAAACCCUCUGAACUUACGCCUAUCACUGAAACGGCAGGGAACGCAGAAUUAUUACACCCUGUUUUUACGCAAUAAUAAAAGAAG